GAAAAGAGUGGAAGCCCUGCAGAGGGGGCCAUCGGUGGCCUGUGGGAAGCGGAGCAGAGGUGGCCUGAACUUGGGCUGAUUGAACUGGCCAUGGUGGCCUCCUCUGCUGGGAGAGGAAGAGCAGAGAACUGUAUAGAAGAUGCUGUCUGUCGGGGCGCUCAGGGAGCCAUCUGGGUUAAAGAGGUACCGUCUUCCAGAGCCUGCGGAUGCUUUCCGGUUACUGACGCUGAGGCGUACGGUAGAGCGAUGUGGGAUGACAUUUGCGCCGUGAAGCCUUCGAAGGCCAGCAGAAUUACAAUAGCCUGUGCACUGGGAGAGAGGGCUGAAGCCCCAUUUACAGGUGAAGUCAGAGUUCUCUAAGAUGUGCUCAGGCUUGGGAUAUUACCCAGCUGGGAGGACGCUGGCUUAACGUGCGUGAAGCCCUGGGUUCUAGUCUCAGCGCCAUAUAAAUCAGGUACGGUGAUACACAUGUGUAAUCCCAGCCCUCAGGAAGUAGAGGCAGAAGGAUCAGAAAUCCAAGGUUUUCUUCAGCUAUGUAACAAGAUCAAAACUGGCUUGGUCUACAUGAGCCUCCAUCUUAAACAAACAAACAAACAAACAAACAAACAAACAAACAAAAAACCCUCUAACUGGGCAUUGUUGUUCCAGGUGCAUUUUGAUGGCCCCAAAGGUGCGAGGUAUCACAUGCUUCAUGUCAUAGGUGUAGAAACUGAGGUUUUAUCAAAAUACAGCUUCAGUCUGCUCCUAAGGUUUCACGGGGUCACCCAGGUCCCAAGCAUACUUCCGAGCUUCCUGACCCGAUGCUAUGCCACCUCUCUGGUCUCUCAGAGAAAUGCUUGAGCUUUCAUUCAAAAGACUGACAUUCAGUUUGUUGCUAGUGAAGGUACUGGCUCGCCGCACAGUUUGUACACAGCAGCUAAAGUCACCCUCCCGCUCUCCCUCGCCCCCAGACUUAGGCACUUAAGUACACCGUGGUAACAGGCAAGGUCAUGUUUCUUUUCCACCCCAAGGCCACGUUGCCCUGCAAAGUGAUUGGGUGAGUGCAGCUGGGCUGUGCCUCCGGAUCUGGAGGCCUACUUGUCUACUGCUAGCCACGUGAUGGCUGCUUUGCUUUUAUUACAAUGCAAGUGAAGAUUUAGGAGAUGCUAAGAGGGAGCCUCGUGGUAGAAAACAGAGAGCCCUCUGCAGAGUCGCCAGGGUGAAAGGGGCAGUUUGAAUCUGACUGUAUGGCCUUAUGGGAAUUUUCUCUCAUGGCCGUGAAGCUCCAGGAGGGGAGGGCCAGGAUGCCUGCCUUACUCUUCAUUUCUCUCUGAAUGGCUCUUUUUAUAGACCUCUAAUACUGCCAGCAGGAUCUCAGGACACUUUUCCUCUGGGCCGUUUCUGACAGGAAGUCUGAGGUGCAUGACAAAUGGAAGGAGAGUGUGUCCCCCACCCAGUGCUGAAGUUAAGGACUGGGGUACUAAUACCCCAGCAAAGGUGACUGACAACGCUGUUCCAUGGGCACUACCACACCUCAGAGCCUACAAAUGACCUCAGGCUAGAUGACCGAGUCCUCUGCUUGCCCGACCACUGUGGCUUGGCAGUCUUCAGGCUGUGCUUAGCCACAUACCCUCCCCCACCCCCUGUUCUCUAGAUCCAUCAGGCCUGUGGGUAAUUUCUGACCUUUCUCCUGCUGUCUCCUGCUCUGGGUAAUAUGCCCUAUCUUCUCUUUCUCUUACACAUACCUAGUUAUCAAAUAUAUGGGUCUCUUCUUCAGGGCAACCCUCAGACACUCCGAGGUUUCCUUCCCAGGUUCCCCAUGACAGGCCUCCAUGUCAACUCUUAAUCACUUUGCUUGUAGCCAGAACUCAACCUUUGAAUCUUGCUGUUCACAGAGCCUAAUCCAGAGCCUGGACGGGAUCGUGGUAUGGAUGGACAGAUGGACAGACAGACAGACAGAUGGACAGAUGGCCCCAUUGUCCUACUCCCACGUAGCUCUUUGAUCAAGAGCAGCAAUGGGGAUGAGGGGGAGAGCCUUAAUCUCAGGAUGAAAGGCGCAGGCUGCUCUUUAGAAGAUAAAGCAUUUUUUUUUCUUUCUCACUUGUGUGAAAGAUCCUGUCCCAUCAAUCUCUCCCAGGUGCUGUGUUCUUCUCACAAAGAUCCCAGUUUACCUGUGUGAGGGCUCCAGGGUUACCCAGCUCUUGAGAGGUGUUUGAAUCUUUGGCGCUAGAUGAGGAUCCUGACAUACACUUUGAAGUUCCUCUUCAUAGGCGCCUGCCAGGAAGCAGCCAUGGGUUUUAUAGGUGAAGAGUCCUGGCUUCUCGGGAGCCCUGGUUUGGGGCUCAGGGCCAGGAGUGUCCCUGGGGAGGCAUUGUUCUGUGUUGCUCAUAAUAGCACUGGGCAGACAAGGCAGGAGCACCCAUGCAGGAGCAUCCAUGCAGGAGCACUAAGGCUCCCUCCACUGGGCUUGCUGAUGGCUGGUACUCAUAUUCAUUUAGAAUCUGAAAGCAGCUCCUUUCUCCUUUUGUUCCACGCCACACGGUUUAACUUAGGGUUGAUUCAUGUUCAUUAAUUCCUUUGUUCCCUAAGAUGUUCGGGUAAGGCACUGCAGCCUCCUGAAAUGGGGCUCUUAGCAUCCCUGUAGCACCAGCCGUGGGUGGGGGUGAUCUGAGGUUGCUGCCAAUCUCCCAGUGAGUUGGUGGCGGAGUGUGGCUGUAAGCUAAGCCUCUCCCAGCAAGCAGAGCUCAUUUCUUUUCUCCCCCAGGCAGCCACUGUGCUGCCUCAGUAGCUCUUUCUCCUCAAGGCUGAAGCAAGAGCCCUGGGUUCAGAGAAGCCUGGCUGUGAGCCUCCUGACUCAGCUGUGUGUAGUCAGCUAUGAGGGAGAGUCACAGCCUGAGCUGACACACUGUUAUCUCCCUCGUUCCCCUAGAAAUCCAAUGGAGCCCGCAGAGUCUGGCUGCAGAUUGCUCAGGAGAGCAGGGACGCUGGAUCCCCUUUGUGAGACACUCCUCCACUGGUAAGGCUCUGCUCUCAUGGUAUGCUCACCUCCCAAGGGUCUACCUCCUAAUACCAUUCACUACUUUGGAGAUUUUUAGGUUCAUUAGCUAUUGCUGUGAUAAAAAAUAUCCUAACCAAAAAAAAAAAAUGUAAGGGGGGAGGUAUUUAUUCCUGCUCAUGGUUCAAGACUGCAUGCAGUCCAUCAUGGUAGGGCAGUCACAGUGGCAGAGACUGAAGGAACUGUCCACACUGAACCUAUAAUCAGGAAUAGGAGUGUACACACACACUUAUACUCGGGUGUAUUUCUCAACUCCGACUUAAUUUGGGAUCCCUUGCUUUGAGGAUGGCACCAACCACAGUGGUCACGUCUUACCACCUCAGUCAGCAUACUCAAGGUAUGUGCCUGCAGGCCAACCUACUCUGGACAAGCAGUCACUAAGUCUCCCCACUCAGGAAGUUCUAGAUUGUGUCAAGUUGACAGAGCUAACGGGGCUAGGACGACCUCCUCACCCACCAAGUGCCUCCCCUGACAGCUCUGUGGUGAAAAGUACCUGAAGGAUGCUUACAGUGCAGGUCUGGCUCAGGGCACAGGCUUAGCUAUGUGGACAGCGGAUGGACAGAUGGCUCUUGUAUUGCAGUCACCUCUCCCAGCUUUCUGUGUCCUCCUGGGAUUUGAUAGGCAUGCUUACCAUUUUUGUUCAACAAAUAAACAGCAUCACAGAUCCUCUGUAAACGGCCUCUCUCUGAACUAUAUGAUCCAGUGUUUUGAGCC